rnacentral:tRNA from 1 species
GCAGUGGUGGUUCAAUGGUAGGAUACUCACCUUCCUUGUAAGAGGCCUAGGUUCAAUUCCCAGCCAAUGCA